rnacentral:lncRNA from 1 species
CUCUGUUAUUCAGGCGGGCUCCUGACUACUGAACUUGAACUGAAUGUAUUCCUCUGUUAUCCAGGCGGGCUCCUGACUUCAUAAAAAUAAACGAACCAAGAAAAACUUUCUGCCCCAGUUUGGAAACUGGGUACAGGUUACUUGAUAUUAAUAAGAAUUUGAUUAAAACUUGACUUGAAAUACCUCUAUUAUACAGGCGGGCUCCUGACUUCCGAAACUUGAAUUGUAUGCCUUUGUUCUUCAGGUGGGCUCCUGACUUCAAAAAGACAAAAGGUCUAUUGAAAACUAAAAUUUGAAUUAUAUCACCUCUGUUCUUCAGGCGGG